ensembl:snoRNA SNORA81 small nucleolar RNA, H/ACA box 81
ACCUUCUUGUAUAAGCACUGUGCUAAAAUUACAGAAACCAAGAUAACCUUGGUUUUUGUGAUAAUGCUAGCAGAGUAUUAAACAAGAAGAAGAGGAACUGCACUAGAUUGUAAAGACUGGGGUGGACCUCUUUCUUAAUGUCCAGUGUCCUUUGUCUUAAGAUUUGGUGCAAUAUGU